AUCCGGUUGAUCCUGCCGGACCUGACUGCUAUCGGAUUGAUACUAAGCCAUGCGAGUCAUUGUAGCAAUACAAGGCAGACGGCUCAGUAACGCGUAGUCAACCUACCCUAUGGACGGGAAUAACCUCGGGAAACUGAGUAUAAUGCCCGAUAGAACAUUAUGCCUGGAAUGGUUUAUGUUCCAAAUGAUUUAUCGCCGUAGGAUGGGACUGCGGCCUAUCAGUUUGUUGGUGAGGUAAUGGCCCACCAAGACUAUUACAGGUACGGGCUCUGAGAGGAGUAGCCCGGAGAUGGGUACUGAGACACGGACCCAGGCCCUAUGGGGCGCAGCAGGCGAGAAAACUUUGCAAUGUGCGAAAGCACGACAAGGUUAAUCCGAGUGGUUUCUGCUAAAGGAACCUUUUGUUAGUCCUAAAAACACUAACGAAUAAGGGGUGGGCAAGUUCUGGUGUCAGCCGCCGCGGUAAAACCAGCACCUCAAGUGGUCAGGAUGAUUAUUGGGCCUAAAGCAUCCGUAGCCUGCUCUGUAAGUUUUCGGUUAAAUCUGUAUGCUUAACAUACAGGCCGCCGGAAAUACUGCAGGGCUAGGGAGUGGGAGAGGUAGACGGUACUCGGGAGGAAGUGGUAAAAUGCUUUGAUCUUUCGAUGACCACCUGUGGCGAAGGCGGUCUACCAGAACACGUCCGACGGUGAGGGAUGAAAGCUGGGGGAGCAAACCGGAUUAGAUACCCGGGUAGUCCCAGCCGUAAACUAUGCAAACUCAGUGAUGCAUUGGCUUGUGGCCAAUGCAGUGUUGCAGGGAAGCCGUUAAGUUUGCCGCCUGGGAAGUACGUACGCAAGUAUGAAACUUAAAGGAAUUGGCGGGGGAGCACCACAAGGGGUGAAGCCUGCGGUUCAAUUGGAGUCAACGCCAGAAAUCUUACCCGGAGAGACAGCAGAA
rnacentral:rRNA from 1 species